UACGGAGGAUGCGAGCGUUAUCCGGAUUUAUUGGGUUUAAAGGGUGCGUAGGCGGUCCGGAAAGUCAGCGGUAAAAGCCCGGGGCUAACCCCGGCGAGCCGUUGAAACUGUCGGACUAGAGACGGCGAGAAGUACGCGGAAUGCGCGGUGUAGCGGUGAAAUGCAUAGAUAUCGCGCAGAACUCCGAUUGCGAAGGCAGCGUACCGGCGCCGGACUGACGCUGAGGCACGAAAGCGUGGGUAUCGAACAGG
rnacentral:rRNA from 1 species